GAAGAUAGGUUAUCCGUGUUGCCUUCGCUGUAUCGGUGACGAAUCAUACACGGUUGACCUAUUUUU
ensembl:miRNA Mir154 microRNA 154